rnacentral:rRNA from 1 species
GACGAACGCUGGCGGCGUGCUUAACACAUGCAAGUCGAGCGGUAAGGCCCUUUCGGGGGUACGACGAGCGGCGAACGGGUGAGUAACACGUGGGUGACCUGCCCUCAGCUCUGGGAUAAGCCUGGGAAACCGGGUCUAAUACUGGAUAUGACUCCAUGACGCAUGUUGUGGGGUGGAAAGCCUUGUGCGGCUGAGGAUGGGCCCGCGGCCUAUCAGCUUGUUGGUGGGGUGANGGCCUACCAAGGCGACGACGGGUAGCCGGCCUGAGAGGGCGACCGGCCACACUGGGACUGAGACACGGCCCAGACUCCUACGGGAGGCAGCAGGUGGGGAAUCUUGCGCAAUGGGCGAAAGCCUGACGCAGCGACGCCGCGUGAGGGAUGACGGCCUCGG